UUUUGGUACCUAACAGGCCUGGGGAGGCUUUCAGGUUAUUUCUAGCUCUGGUGUCUCUGGGCCUAGCGUCUGAAGUUCAUGUUAUCUUCAGCAGUAGGGACUUACUUUCUACCACUUGGGUGUGGGUAACCAAGGGCAUUAGCAGUAGCCUGUAAUGUUUUAGGGUUCUCUUGGACAAUCCUGACCAACGAAACCCAAAACAUUGGGUUUCUCGUGUGGUAUUGGGGAUUUUGUUAGAUGUUUUUGGCUCUUGGAGGGAGUAUUGUCAGCCCAGAUGAAAAUUUUUUCAUUUAAACUAUAUGUUUAUAUGAAGAAUUACGUAUAUUUAUGGAAUUUAAAGCUAUUUAUUGUGUAUGUGUGGUUGCUACUGUUAUGCCCAGGUCGCGGGGACCCCCAAAAGACCACUAGGGAGACCGAAUCCCAUAUGUAAAAACAAAGAGCCUUUAUUAUCUUCAAGCUCCGGGGUUUGGUCUCUCUGUCUGUCUGAAGCAGUGGUGAGAGCAGAGAGCCCUGAGCUCAGGCGGGGCAGAGUUUUUAAUCCUAGCAGUGGAUGGGGUGAGGGGAUUUCCAGGGUUCAGGACCUUGUUUUGGUUGACAUUUGUCUAGGGGUAUCUAUAAAACAAAAAUAGAUGUGUGUUAGACUCAGGGACAUCUGGCCACAUUUUCUAAUGUUUGGAAUGUUUGGGAUGUCAGGUACUUCCCCUUAGAUGUAGGCCCUCCCUGGGUGGGGUCAGCUUAUGACUUUUAAUGGGUCUGGGUGUUGCCUCAGUAAGUUUGUGUCACAGAAGCUGUGUCUGGGCCUCAAAGCCUGUCAUGGCAGCUGUGUGGUCCAGCUGUUUGGAGCCCUUGUACAGCUACAGCACACAUGUGGAAGUCAGAGGACAACUUUAGAGACUCUACAGGAGCAGGAUGGACAUAAAGCCAAAAAGCCAGCGUGUAAAUUUGAAGAGGGUCAGGAUGUCCUAGCUAGAUGGUCAGAUGGCUUGUUUUAUCUUGGAACUAUCAAAAAGAUAAACAUAUUGAAACAGAGCUGCUUCAUCAUAUUUGAGGACAGUUCCAAAUCCUGGGUUCUCUGGAAGGACAUCCAAACAGGAGCCACUGGGAGUGGGGAAAUGGUCUGUACAAUAUGUCAAGAAGAGUAUUCAGAAGCUCCCAAUGAAAUGGUUAUAUGUGAUAAGUGUGGUCAAGGGUAUCAUCAGUUGUGUCACACACCUCAUAUUGAUUCGAGUGUGAUUGAUUCAGAUGAAAAAUGGCUCUGUCGACAGUGUGUUUUUGCAACAACAACAAAGAGGGGUGGUGCGCUUAAGAAAGGACCAAAUGCCAAAGCAUUGCAAGUCAUGAAGCAGACCUUACCCUAUAGUGUGGCAGACCUUGAGUGGGAUGCAGGUCAUAAAACCAAUGUCCAGCAGUGUUACUGCUAUUGUGGAGGCCCUGGAGACUGGUAUUUAAAGAUGUUGCAGUGUUGCAAAUGUAAGCAGUGGUUUCAUGAGGCUUGUGUGCAAUGCCUUCAAAAGCCAAUGCUGUUUGGAGAUAGGUUUUAUACAUUUAUUUGCUCUGUCUGCAGUUCUGGACCAGAAUACCUCAAACGUCUACCAUUACAGUGGGUAGAUAUAGCACACCUAUGCCUUUACAACCUAAGUGUUAUUCACAAGAAGAAAUACUUUGACUCUGAACUUGAGCUUAUGACAUACAUUAAUGAAAACUGGGAUAGAUUGCACCCUGGAGAGCUGGCAGACACACCCAAAUCUGAAAGAUAUGAGCAUGUUCUGGAGGCAUUAAAUGAUUACAAGACCAUGUUUAUGUCUGGGAAAGAAAUAAAGAAGAAGAAGCAUUUGUUUGGGUUGCGAAUUCGUGUUCCUCCUGUGCCACCAAAUGUGGCUUUCAAAGCAGAGAAAGAACCUGAAGGAACAUCUCAUGAAUUUAAAAUUAAAGGCAGAAAGGCAUCCAAACCUGUAUCUGAUUCAAGGGACGUAAGCAAUGGGAUAGAAAAAAAAGGAAAGAAGAAAUCUGUAGGUCGUCCUCCUGGCCCAUAUACAAGAAAAAUGAUUCAGAAAACUGCUGAGCCACAUUUGGAUAAGGAAUCAGUUUCAGAGAAUUCUGCGUUGGAUUUACCUUGUUCUAUAGGGAGAACUGAGGGAAUUGCACAUUCAUCCAGUACCUCAGAUGUGGACUUCACGGGUGCUUCCAGUGCAAAAGAAACUACCUCAUCUAGCAUUUCCAGGCAUUAUGGAUUAUCUGACUCUAGAAAAAGAACUCGCACAGGAAGAGCUUGGCCUGCUGCAAUACCACAUCUGCGGAGAAGAAGAGGUCGCCUUCCAAGAAGAGCACUCCAGAUUCAGAACUCAGAAGUUGUAAAAGAUGAUGAAGGCAAAGAAGAAUACCAGUUUGAAGAACUUAACACAGAAAUCCUGAAUAACUUAGCCGAUCAGGAGCUGCAACUCAAUCACCUGAAAAACUCCAUCACUAGUUAUUUUGGUGCUGCGGGUAGAAUAGCAUGUGGUGAAAAAUACAGAGUUUUGGCUCGCCGGGUGACGCUUGAUGGGAAGCCAAAAGAAGCAGAGAACUUCAUUGUCCUGCAUUUGGUUCCUGGUUGACCCAGCAUUUAAGUGAAAACAAAAGAGCAAGCAAGCUGUAGAUCUUGGCAGCUGGUGGAAUAGGCAGACAUGAAGAUCGGACGAGCCAUCCUUUUGAGUUAGGCUCCAGCAUGUUCAGCAAGCAGCUACAAAGCAGAAGUGGAGAUUUUAGAAAAAGCGUCAUGAAAGUAUGCCCAGGUUUUUGAAGAAGGUAGAAGAAAAAGAAAAGACUGACUCAGAAGAGCAGGCAGACUUAAGAGAGACUUGGUAGCAGCUCCGGAAGAGACUGUAGGAGUCGAGAUGUGUGAUACAUUCUGACAUGGGAGAAACUUUGUAAGCAAACCGUUUGAAUCUCUUAAGGAAUGUAAUUUGUCAUUUAAAUGAUUUCCCAUUGGUUCUAAAACAAGCAUGUAAAACCUUCACAGACUUUUCAGCAUAUAAACCUGAAUUGCUGACACCACCACCAUGACCAUCAAAUUAACCACAGACCAAAAGUUGACUCUAUCGAAGUUGCUUUCUUGUAUGUUCCGAUCACGAGCUUCAAAUGCUCUAAGCAGAGUUUGUAUGUGGCCACUUUUGCUUAGUCUGGACUUGAUGCUGUUGAUGGAUUCCUGGAGAUAAAUACAGUAAUUUUACUAUUAAAAAUACUAAGGACACAUUCCUUUAGUAAUAUGCUUCAUGCUAUUUUUAAAAUCAAAACAAUUUUUUUAAAUAUAUGGGAAUACAAUUCAAUUAAAGUGCAGGUAUGACUUGUAUCACCUAGAGAUCCUCCAUGAGGCUUUAAAAUAGUAAUGAUAAAUUUAUUUAACAGAGAUUAAAAAUAUACCAUGAAUUGAAAAGAGAAGAUCAAAAUAUUUGAGUAGCAUAGCACCAGGACUUUUAUAUAUUUUAUCUCUCUUGUUAUUUGGCAAUUUUUACCUAAUCCAUUGUGUGUCUAUAGUAUUUUACUUUUGAAUGUUUUGUCAUCCAGGGAGGUCCAGCACACAUUAUAACAGAUGCAGGAGUUUGGAGUGAUCUAAGCGGCAAAAUCCAUGGAAUGCCAGCAAACCUCGCAGUGAAGAGUCCCAGAGCCUUCCAAAGGCUCAG